AGAGUUUGAUCCUGGCUCAGGGUGAACGCUGGCGGCGCGCUUAAUGCAUGCAAGUCGAACGUGCCUUCGGGCAAGUGGCAGACGGCUGAGUAACGCGUGAGUAACACACCCUUCGGUGGGGUAUAGCCUCGGGAAACUGAGGGUAAUCCCGCAUACGAUCCUUUCCCCCUGGGGAAAGGAUGAAAGCCUUCGGGCGCCGGAGGAGUGGCUCGCGUCCUAUCAGGUAGUUGGUGGGGUAACGGCCCACCAAGCCGAUGACGGGUAGCUGGUCUUAGAGGACGAUCAGCCAGAGGGGGACUGAGACACGGCCCCCACUCCUACGGGAGGCAGCAGCAGGGAAUUUUGGGCAAUGGACGAAAGUCUGACCCAGCGACACCGCGUGGGGGAAGAAGGCUUUCGGGUCGUAAACCCCUUUUCUCGGGGAAGAGUGAGGACGGUACCCGAGGAAUAAGCCUCGGCUAACUACGUGCCAGCAGCCGCGGUAAUACGUAGGAGGCGAGCGUUGUCCGGAUUUACUGGGCGUAAAGGGCGAGUAGGCGGUCUGUUAAGUCUCAUGUGAAAUCUCCCGGCUUAACUGGGAGGGGUCAUGGGAAACUGGCAGACUUGAGGGCAGUAGAGGAGAGUGGAAUUCCCGGAGUAGCGGUGAUAUGCGUAGAUACCGGGAGGAACACCCGAGGCGAAGGCGACUCUCUGGGCUGCACCUGACGCUGAGGCGCGAAAGCAUGGGGAGCGAACCGGAUUAGAUACCCGGGUAGUCCAUGCCCUAAACGAUGGAUACUAGAUAUGGGGGGUAUCGACCCCCCCCGUGUCGUAGCUAACGUGAUAAGUAUCCCGCCUGGGGAGUACGGCCGCAAGGCUAAAACUCAAAGGAAUUGACGGGCCCCCGCACAAGCAGCGGAGCGUGUGGUUUAAUUCGAUGAUAAGCGAAGAACCUUACCAGGGCUUGACAUGCUUCUGUAAUCUCGGGAAACCGAGCCCUCCUUCGGGACAGAUGCACAGAUGUUGCAUGGCCGUCGUCAGCUCGUGCCGUGAGGUGUUGGGUUAAGUCCCGCAACGAGCGCAACCCUUAUCGUUAGUUGUCUUUUUCUAGCGAGACUGCCCCUAAAAAGGGGGAGGAAGGUGGGGAUGACGUCAGGUCAGCACGGCUCUUACGUCCUGGGCUACACACACGCUACAAUGGCCGGUACAGAGGGUUGCCAAAGAGCAAUCUGGAGCUAAUCCCAAAAAGCCGGCCCCAGUUGGAAUUGCAGGCUGCAACCCGCCUGCAUGAACGUGGAGCUGCUAGUAACCGCAGGUCAGCACACUGCGGUGAAUACGUUCCCGGGGGUUGUACACACCGCCCGUCACGUCAUGGAAGUCGGUAACACUUGAAGUCGCUGGGCCAACCCUUCGGGGGGGCAGGCGCCGAGGGUGGGAUCGGUGACUGGGACGAAGUCGUAACAAGGUAACC
rnacentral:rRNA from 1 species